GACGAACGCUGGCGGCGUGCCUAAUACAUGCAAGUCGAACGAAGCUGUUUUAACUGGUGCUUGCACCGACUUAAACAACUGAGUGGCGAACGGGUGAGUAACACGUGGGUAACCUGCCCCAAAGCGGGGGAUAACAUUUGGAAGCAGAUGCUAAUACCGCAUAACCACAGAAACCACAUGGUUUCUGUGUCAAAGAUGGUUUCGGCUAUCACUUUGGGAUGGACCCGCGGCGUAUUAGCUAGUUGGUAAGGUAAUGGCUUACCAAGGCAAUGAUACGUAGCCGAACUGAGAGGUUGAUCGGCCACAUUGGGACUGAGAAACGGCCCAAACUCCUACGGCAGGCAGCAGUAGGGAAUCUUCCACAAGGGACGAAAGUCUGAUGGAGCAACGCCGCGUGAGUGAAGAAGGUUUUCGGAUCGUAAAACUCUGUUGUCAGAGAAGAACGUGUGCGAGAGUAACUGCUCGUGCAGUGACGGUAUCUGGCCAGAAAGCCACGGCUAACUACGUGCCAGCAGCCGCAGUAA
rnacentral:rRNA from 1 species